GAAGCCUAUUCUAAAAGCGUUCUCAAAGAAUAAACGGACAAGCCCAGGAAGAAGCUAGUGUUUGUAACUGUCUUUGUGGCUUUAUGAUGCCUCAACUAGCCUGUCACGGUUGAGAAACAUGGAAUGAAGUUGACUCACGUCAGUGGUCUCUGCCAAGGCUAUCCUGGAUCAGCCUAGACUAGUCAGGCCAUGAGGUAGAAGUCUAUUGACUGCGCUGCAAGGGAACAGCAAGCAGGACGGCAAAGGAGAAACUGUCUACCCUUUUUCUACUUGGAAUUUUGGUCAGCAAGAAGAUAAUUACUGUCCAUGUCAAUAUGAAAACUUUCUUUCCUCACCUCAACUCCAAACCCCCAAAGUCUGAUCUGUUCAAUUCCAAGCAACUUAUGGAAAAUUGUCUAUAUACAAAAAUAAUCCCGGGGGGGCGGAUUCUCUAAAUGUAAAAAAUUCCUGGCAGUAAUUAUUUGACCAUGACCCACAAUAAAAAGUAUGUUUCAAUCUGCAACACAAGUACUUACAUAUAGAUGUGUGUGUAUAUAUCUAACUAAAACAAAAG